rnacentral:rRNA from 1 species
UACGAAGGGGGCUAGCGUUGCUCGGAAUCACUGGGCGUAAAGGGUGCGUAGGCGGGUCUUUAAGUCAGGGGUGAAAUCCUGGAGCUCAACUCCAGAGCUGCCUUUGAUACUGAGGAUCUUGAGUUCGGGAGAGGUGAGUGGAACUGCGAGUGUAGAGGUGAAAUUCGUAGAUAUUCGCAAGGACACCAGUGGCGAAGGCGGCUCACUGGCCCGAUACUGACGCUGAGGCACGAAAGCGUGGGGAGCAAACAGG